ensembl:lncRNA
CUUUAGUGUGAGCUUAAGAAUGUAUUUGGUCAUGGAAAGCAGCUUAGUUCAAUUUCAGCGCUCUUGCUGUGUUCAGUUUUUCUGUUUUGAAUGUACGCCAGCACAUUUGAAUGAAGUAAGUUUUUUAAGUUUUUUGCGUUUUCAGGCUAACUUUACUUGAAUUCUAAUUUGAAGAAAUGUUUAUCUUAAUAAGUAGUAUUUGUUUUUUCUGUACUAUAUUUUUCCACUUCAUAGACAGCAUUAAAUUUGAAUGAAACUGAAAUCAAAGCCAGAAUACUGUUUUGAGUGAAAACAAUCUCAAAUGUUAGGCGCUUUAUAUUGGAAAAAGCAGUGGGAGCUUUUUGUGUUACACUUAAACCCUCAGUGAGCGUUUGUCACGACAAACGACAUUCCUGCCCGUCGGAAACAAACCCAGCAGCGAUGCCGGUUGGUCAUCCGGCGACCAGCAGCUCCUCUCUACGGGUUCCUACCCAGCCUGGGACGGCCGCGCUCAGGAGCCGACACCCGAACCUGCUGGACACCCUCCUGGCCCAUCUUGGUCCGGGCCAUCGUCAUCCCUAAGCGAGGAAUGGAGGGACGCCUGCAGACCCCGCAGACCCCCAGGAGCUGCAGCUCACCGGGACCUGCUGGGAAGUCCUGCUGGAGCUUGGAUGCGAGUGUGGCCGUGCUUCUGGUGACCCUGGUUGGAGCUUUAUUUCUGCUGAUGCUUUACAAACUCUUACAGCUGAGACACAGGCUGAGGUUGGCCGGGGCGAGGAACGCGCUGGAGUACCACAGCUUCCACCACUCCGCCACCUACACGCUCAGACACGCCGCGUUGUUUGAGGACCUGGCGAACAAGAAGGCCCCCGACCCCGAAGCCGCACCUGAGUCCAAUCAAACCGCUACCACGGUGACAUGCGCAGUCAUCAAACCACUUCCGCCCCCACUGCUGCAUUCUCCGCCCCCUCUGCCGCUGCCCCCACAUCCUUUCCCGCCGCCCCCGAUGCACCAGAAUCCUCCCACCCUCACCCUCACCCCUUCCGUCUUGGCCUUCGCUCUGCCCGCGAUCCACACCAACCCGCCAAGUCCUCACCUGUCGUGGGGCGCGUGCUCAGACGCAGAUGUGUACUCUCGGAUCGGAGCGUUCAGGCCCUCCAGGCUCUCCAGCCUCUCCAACCAAUCCAAAGUCAUCCUUUUCGAGCACUCGUCUCUCUGACUUUUGAGGCAGAACAUGACUGGAGACGUCGAAAAGACUUCAUAGCGAAUACCAAAAACACUGCUGACGCAUGUAUGCAUGCAUUAUGCUGUGUGCUCAUCUCUAAGUACUGCACCUUGUAUCAGGACGCUGCAAAAUUCAGGAGCAACACCACUGUUCUUAUGCUUUUUUUCUAUUGGGGAGUGGAGUUUUCUUCAGAAUUCGGACUAGUGGACGAACUGCAUGGAGAACAAUCUGCAGCUCCUGGUCCUUCUGUUCCUUUGAGCUUGUUCACAAAAGCGAUGAAAAGGAAAAGACGAGGACGGCUUUUCUGGCUGCUCGGCUGUGAAAGCCCGUAUCUUAAUUCUUCUGACAGCAGCACCCCAUCGGCGCCUCCGCAAGGGAAACAUGACUGAAUAGUCCAAGAGUGUACGGAUGAAAAUGAAUCCACACUCUUAACCUCCUCCAAUAGACAGGCUGAUUACAGCCAAGUGCUCUCUGCGGCAGUCUCUCAGGGAAUGAGCCACGCAGCGUAACAGUGUGAGACGUUCAUAUGGUCCUGCACAUUCCACAGGUGAAAUGCUAAAUGCCUUAACAAGCAGGUGAUGUUGGUCCUCAAGCUGAUGUUUUGAGAAAUUGUGUUUUGAAAUAUCACUUUUCAAAAAGGACUAUUGGUGACUGUUGGUUUCGAAGUGUGACCGUACUACAAGAAAAUGUUGUUCAACUCAACUGACAUUUUUCUUCAAUGUCUUCAAUAAUUACUCUGUGAUAUCGACACGUUUGCACAUGCUCAGAGGUGUGAGCAGUCAGCACUUGAUAUAGUACUUUACUUUACUGUUAGCCAAAGUAUUUUACAGCCCAACAACAUAUUUUAUAAAUACUUAGCAGUUCAGUUACACUGUGGAAAUGGUGAUUUAAUUUGACAACUGAUGGUUUUCCAUCACACAUCCAUCCAUUUAGAUGACUGCCCUGCAACAGAAAACAAUACAUUACUUGUUAUUUAGGUGUCUGUUAUCUGACUGCUCAUGCUACUUGUCAUGUUUGGGACCGUACACAUGCUGUAAAGAUACCGAGGCCCGGACCUGUUUGUUUGGAUUAUGGUCCUUUAAUCAAUUAUUUAUUCAUUAUUUGUUUCAAUACAUUGUGUGUGUAUAAACUCCCUCCAGGUUAGACCAUCAAGUCCAAGAAAAGACAUUAAGACUUGAGUUCAUAAUCCUCUUUGUUGACUGCAGCACUGGUAAUGUGUCCGUAGAUCUCGGGAUCAAACACUUACUUUAACCAAUUACCUUUUAGGGGACAGGCCCUCAUUCCCUGAAGGAAAGCUUUGUUCAACUUCAUUAUAAAUCCUUGUGGACAUUUGUAUCUGUCUAAUUGCAGAUAUGUCAGGCUGGAUUUGGGGGAUAUGGCUUUGGAAUUGAUGCUCAAGAAAUACAGACAGCCUUGAAUUAAAACUUUUCUUUUAAAGUUUGCAUCAUAGCCUCAUUGAAGCAAGCUGAAAUAGAACAAAGGCGUGUGUGAUCCUGCCAGACGGAACUGAAAAGGAUCAGUCAAAAAAACCUUUUAGGGUUACUUAUUGGAAAAUAAAAGGAACUUUAAAAAAAAAGUUUGUGGCACUCUUUUCCAGAAAGGAUCACAGGACACGGACCCGCUGUGCAUUAGCAGUCGCUGCGUAACACUCCAAGCCGAAGAAGAAUGAAAAACACACCUGCUUAUUGUCUGCGGUAGCCAGCUGUGGGCCCCUCACACACACCUCUGUAUUCCUGCCUAGCAGCGGGCCUUUGAUCAGGUAAUUGCCCCUCCGGCCCCCGGAGUUUGCAUCCACCAUAUGUCGCUAUGGCGACCACCUCUCCAGCAGCUAUCCGCGCGCCCCCUUCACAACCUUUUUAAGAUGGACUUAUACGUUAUGAGCCUGUGAGUGAUGGAGGAAAAGGGCAAAUAAAUUACGCAACAAGAAGUACCUCAACCACGUCAACAGCAACC